UCCAGGAAACCCUCCUGGUCCACCUCACCCUGGUCCCGCACCCCAUGGACCAAACCGCCCUCGCAGACCUCGGCUUAUGGAGAUAUACCAGCUUAUAUUCGGCAGGCCAGAUCACUAAGGACAACAGCACUCCAUUCCGCCACUAAUAGAGAUCGCCGAACUCCCUUUCCAAACGCUUCGUUCAACAUCCUAAGACCUACGAGAGAUCAUUCGACACGCACCGCAUGCGCCUUGACAUCAAGACGAGGAAGUCAAACGGAAUUCACAGGUGCCCGCGUGAGGGAAUUAAUCACGCUUGGGCUGCUAAAACCCAUAUAAACCACUCUUAUCAUCAGUAAAAAUGCAUUCAAUAAA